rnacentral:rRNA from 1 species
GACGGACGCUGGCGGCGUGCCUAAUACAUGCAAGUUGGACGCAGUUGCGAACGGGUGAGUAACGCGUAGGUAACUACCUAUUAGAGGGGGAUCACUAUUGGAAACGAUAGCUAAUACCGCAUACUAGUAGAUGGGCCUGCGUUGGAUUAGCUAGUACGUAGGGUAAUGGCCUACCUAGGCAAGGAUACGUAGCCGACCUGAGAGGGUGAUCGGCGACACUGGAACUGAGACACGGCCCAGACUCCUACGGGAGGCAGCAGUAGGAAAUCUUCGGCAAUGGGUGGAAGCCUGACGGAGCAACGCCGCGUGAGUGAUGAAGGUUUUCGGAUCGUAAAGCUCUGUUGUUAAGGAAGCGGUACUUAACCAGAAAGGGACGGCUAACUACGUGCCAGCAGCCGCGGUAAAAC